GACGAACGCUGGCGGCGUGCUUAACACAUGCAAGUCGAGCGGUAAGGCCCUUUCGGGGGUACGACGAGCGGCGAACGGGUGAGUAACACGUGGGUGACCUGCCCUUAGCCCUGGGAUAAGCCUGGGAAACUGGGUCUAAUACCGGAUAUGACUCCAUGACGCAUGUUGUGGGGUGGAAAGCCUUGUGCGGCUAGGGAUGGGCCCGGCGGCCUAUCAGCUUGUUGGUGGGGUGAUGGCCUACCAAGGCGACGACGGGUAGCCGGCCUGAGAGAGCGACCGGCCACACUGGGACUGAGACACGGCCCAGACUCCUACGGGAGGCAGCAGUGGGGAAUCUUGCGCAAUGGGCGAAAGCCUGACGCAGCGACG
rnacentral:rRNA from 1 species